GUCUACGGCCAAAGCACCCUGAAUGCACCCUAUCUCAUCUGACCUUGGAAGCUAAGCAGGAUCGGGCCUGGUUAGUAACUGGAUGGGAAAGUCUCAGUUCUAGAGAAGCUUAAAUGCCCAGCCAAGGCAGCUUUACU
rnacentral:rRNA from 1 species